GUAAUCAGUCCCACUUCCCCCCCACUAUGACGCCCAUGUGGGCAGAAAUUGGCUGCUAAAACAUUACCUAGGAUCCUCCAAAAUCUUGCUGAGCAAUUGCUGGCGAAGAAGCAACAACCAAACAACAUCAUUUAUCUGUCUCCUUCCAGGUUUUGUUUUUCAACAAGGGACAGAGCGAUAAAAGCUUCACAGCAUAAACAAACAAAAGGGGCCUUAAAUGGUGCACGUUUAGCUCAAGCACAAAAGGACGCAGUUUAACAGGUGCUGUGGACAAAAAACAGAAGCCAUGUAAAUAAAAUAAAAUAAACAUCACCAACAGCGAUAGUGAGAUAUCAUAACACCAACAGAGCUGGUACACAUGUAUGUGUCAACAGAUCUAUGUCCAUUACAAGCUCAAGAAAAAGCCCUAAGUGGACCUUGAGCUGGAAGUGUUUUGUCAAAGUACUAUUUUGAAGGUCAAGAAUGAGCAGAAGGGAUGUACAAAAUAAAACAGCAUUAUACAGAAGCAUUAUACAAAA